CACGGUAAAAAAUCAUAUAUUUUAAAAUAUUUUGUAAAUGACUACAGUUACGACUACGGUUAUUGAAACAUAAUUAUAGCACGUUUAAUAUUCUUUCAAAUGGUAUCUAACACCAAUUAAUCAGUAAAAUUGAACCCGAGAAAUAAUGAAAAGUUGACGUCGGUCCCCCGCCAUUUAUGUGUCCGUGCGUGGUGACCCAUGCUGAACAGAAUUCGUCUUAAAUUGGUUAUAUAAAAUCAUACACCAAUAAAACUUAUAUUUUUGGAAAGCUCAUGAAAUAUCUCGUAUAUUUUGUAAUGACAUUAAUUGCGGUAAAUUUAUAAUUUAUUGAGUUAGAAGCAUGUUUAUCAGUACUUAUGCCAUCCAUGCACGUUAUGACUAUGGUUAUUUAGAAACAAUAAUAGUACGUUUAAUAUUCUUUCAAACGACACCUCACACGAACCGAUCGGUCCCAUA